ensembl:lncRNA
UGCAGACAGAAGAAAGACUUGUGUUCGUUGGGUUCAGUGAACACGUGCAGCUCACACGGCGGCGGGAAAACGUUCAGUUUGACUGUAGUGGAUAAAAUUCAAGAAAAUGCAGCCAGGCAACGUGGAGAAAUUUAAGAAACAGUCCCUGCAGAAGACGUGCAAGCAGUCCACAGCCAGAGUGAGAGCAGAGUGCCAUGGAAGGUGAAUCAGUUGGACGAACAGAUCCAUCAAAAGGACACUGAAAUUGGAGGAGAAGAUCAGCGAAGACCUGCACCUGAAACAACAGGGCUGACUGACAGAAGAAGGUGAGCGGGUGGAGAAACAGACCCGCUAGGGACACUUCCAUCCUGGAUCUCAUCAAGGCAAAGGGAAGUCUGCGAGGAGCUCACACCACACACAAGCUGAGCAGCAAAUUAAUUCCUCCAGAGUGAGGAGGCCCGGCCGGAUUCAAACAGGUGCCGGACGCGAAGACGGUCCUGGAGGAUUUAAAAAUGAAGAAGAAGAAGGAGAAGAGCAGGACCGGCUUCUUUGGCAAACAGAUGGAGGAUCAACAGGACAAGUCGGAGAAAAUAAGAAGUGUCCGAGAAGGAGAUGAAAAACAAAGAGCAGCAUGAGAAGGUGGGAAAAGGAAGGAGGAGAAGAUGUACACAGGGCUUUUCCUGCCAGAUGCGUUACCGCAACAGAAAGGUGGAGGAGGCUCUUCAGCCGAGGUUGGACAUCUUCCUCCAUCUACAUUUCCACCCUUUCCAUCCAUGCACCUUCCUCUUCAACCUCCAGUAAAUAUAUUAAAUAGGGACAGAAAUAAAUGACAAAAGAAACAUAAAUCGAUGAUUGGAAAUAUAUGAAAUAAAAUAAAAAUAAAUAAAAUAAAUUAGAGAAAAUUGCAUGGUAUUGAAA